rnacentral:rRNA from 1 species
UACAGGGGGUGCGAACGUUGCUCGGAAUUGAUUGGCGUAAAGCGCACGUAGGCGGUCUGUUAUGUCGGAUGUGAAAGCCCUUGGCUCAAACCGUGAGGAAGUGCAUCCGAAACUGGCAGGCUAGAGUACGUAAGAGGGUCGCGGAAUUCCGGUGUAGAGGUGAAAUUCGUAGAUAUCGGGAGGAACACCGGUGGCGAAGGCGGCGACCUGGGACGAUACUGACGCUGAGGUGCGAAAGCGUGGGGAGCAAACAGG